AACGAACGCUGGCGGCAGGCUUAAUACAUGCAAGUCGAACGUGAAAGUCCUUCGGGAUGAGUAAAGUGGCGCACGGGUGAGUGACACAUGGGAACGUACCCUAGGGUGGGGGAUAACUACGGGAAACUGUAGCUAAUACCGCAUAAUGUCUUCGGACCAAAGAUUUAUCGCCUUAGGAUCAGCCCGCGUUGGAUUAGCUUGUUGGUGGGGUAAUGGCCUACCAAGGCGACGAUCCAUAGCUGGUCUGAGAGGAUGAUCAGCUACACUGGAACUGAGACACGGUCCAGACUCCUACGGGAGGCAGCAGUAGGGAAUAUUGGGCAAUGGGCGAAAGCCUGACCCAGCCAUGCCGCGUGAAUGAUGAAGGCCUUAGGGUUGUAAAGUUCUUUCGCCGAUGAAGACAAUGACGGUAGUCGGAUAAGAAGCCCCGGCUAACUUCGUGCCAGCCGCCGCCGUAA
rnacentral:rRNA from 1 species